CCAGACUCCUACGGGAGGCAGCAGUGGGGGAUAUUGCACAAUGGGGGGAACCCUGAUGCAGCGACGCCGCGUGAGUGAAGAAGUAAUUCGUUACGUAAAGCUCUAUCAGCAGGGAAGAAGAUGACGGUACCUGACUAAGAAGCCCCGGCUGACUACGUGCCAGCAGCCGCGGUAAUACGUAGGGGGCAAGCGUUAUCCGGAUUUACUGGGUGUAAAGGGAGCGUAGACGGCGAUGCAAGCCAGAUGUGAAAGCCCGGGGCUCAACCCCGGGACUGCAUUUGGAACUGUGUGGCUGGAGUGUCGGAGAGGCAGGCGGAAUUCCUAGUGUAGCGGUGAAAUGCGUAGAUAUUAGGAGGAACACCAGUGGCGAAGGCGGCCUGCUGGACGAUGACUGACGUUGAGGCUCGAAAGCGUGGGGAGCAAACAGGAUUAGAUACCCGUGUA
rnacentral:rRNA from 1 species